rnacentral:sRNA from 1 species
GAUGGAAAAGAAAGGUUGGGGAAAGAGUUCAUGUCAUAACAUUUCUCAUUGUAUUGUCAGGCUGUUGGAGAAGUCUGGGGGCUUGGAAAUCAUCUUUGAUGUUUACCAGGCCGGCGCUGUGGCCACAUUCCGAAAGAAUAACCCUGGCAAACCCUAUGCCCGGAUGUGCAUUAGUGGAUUUGAUGAGCCUGUCCCAGACCUCUGCAGCCUCAAGCGGUUGUCUUACCAGAGUGGGGAUGUCCCUCUGAUCUUUGCCCUGGUGGAUCAUGGUGACAUCUCCUUCUACAGCAUCAGGGACUUCACGUUGCCCCGGGAUGUGGGGCACUGACCUCACAGCUCUGCAGAGGAUGGAGCUUGCUCCGGGGGACCGGGACUGUCUGUUCUCAGGGACCAUCUCGGCUGCCUCCUGUACCCAGACUCUAACCUGUAGCUUCAGAGGCCAGUCUGGGCCUUGGCCCUGGGUGUCUGAUACUCACAGAGUGAAACUGUGACCCUCUCCCCUUCCCUGCUGCCUUGCAGUGACCCCUCUGGAACUCAGGACUCGAUUUUAAGGACCCAGGAGGUGGGGCAGAAGAGAGGACUCUGUGCCUUUAACGAGAGGGUGCCUGCUUCGUGCCAUAAAGCCAAAGCCAUUAAAAAUAGAUUUCUUU